UCAAGCUACUAAGGGCAUACGGCGGAUGCCUAGGCGCCAAGAGCCGAUGAAGGACGCGGUAAGCUGCGAAAAGCCACGGGGAACUGCAAGCAAGUAUCGAUCCGUGGAUGUCCGAAUGGGGAAACCCAAUAGCCGUCAUGGGCUAUUACCCUGUAAUGGGGAGGGAACCCGGGGAACUGAAACAUCUAAGUACCCGGAGGAAGAGAAAUCAAACGAGAUGCCCCCAGUAGCGGCGAGCGAAGCGGGCAGAGCCUAAACCGGGAAGCUACGGCUUUCCGGGGUUACGGACCAGUAUAAUUGAAGCCAGGCCUAGUCGAAUUACCUGGAAAGGUAAGCCAUAGGGUGUAAGAGCCACGUAGACGAAAGGCAGAGCAGAGAGACUGGUAUCCAGAGUACCACGAAACACGAGAAACUUUGUGGGAAGUAGGGGGGACCACCCUCCAAGGCUAAACACUACUUGGCGACCGAUAGCGCAUAGUACCGUGAGGGAAAGGUGAAAAGAACCCCGGAAGGGGAGUGAAAUAGUACCUGAAACCGUAUGUCUACAAGCAGUCGGAGCGAAAGCGACGGCGUGCCUAUUGAAGAAUGAGCCAACGAGUUACGUGCACUAGCGAGGUUAAGCGGGAAACGCGGAGCCGCAGCGAAAGCGAGUCUGAAUAGGGCGAUAGUUAGUGUACGUAGACCCGAAACUGCAGUGAUCUACCCAUGUCCAGGUUGAAGCGCAGGUAAAAUUGCGUGGAGGACCGAACCCGUGAACGUUGAAAAGUUUUGGGAUGAGAUGUGGGUAGCGGUGAAAUUCCAAUCGAACGCAGAGAUAGCUGGUUCUCCUCGAAAUAGCUUUAGGGCUAGCCUCAGGUAGUAAGUAUAGGCGGUAGAGCACUGAUCGGGCUAGGGGGCGUAAAGUCUACCGAACCCUGUCAAACUCCGAAUGGUUAUACUGCAAAGCCUGGGAGUCAGACUACGGGUGAUAAGAUUCGUGGUCAAAAGGGAAACAGCCCAGACCACCAGCUAAGGUCCCAAAUGCCGUACUAAGUGGCAAAGGAUGUGGGGUUACAUAAACAACCAGGAUGUUGGCUUAGAAGCAGCCACCAUUUAAAGAGUGCGUAAUAGCUCACUGGUCGAGUGACCCUGCGCCGAAGAUUCCCGGGGCUAAAGUACGGAACCGAAGCUGUGGAUGCAUUGCUUGAGCAAUGCGUGGUAGAGGAGCGUUCCCAUCGGGUUGAAGUCGUUCUGUAAGGAACGGUGGACUGGUGGGAAGUGAGAAUGUUGGCAUGAGUAGCGAAAAGAAAGGUGAGAAUCCUUUCCACCGAAAGCAUAAGGAUUCCUGAGCAACGCUCGUCGUCUCAGGGUAAGUCGGGGCCUAAUCCGAGGCAUAAAGCGUAGGAGAUGGACAACUGGUUGAUAUUCCAGUACCGGUAAUGUUUGUUUGAGCAAUGGAGUGACACAGAAGGGCAGGCAAUCACGAGAUUGGUAGUUCGUGUGCAAGCAUGUAGGGUGGAGCGUAGGCAAAUCCGCGCUUCUGAGCCUGAGGUGUGAUGCGGAGGCAAGAAAUUGCCGAAGUUGCUGACCCCACGCUGUCGAGAAAAGCUUCUAGUUAGAACAUGACCGCCCGUACCGUAAACCGACACAGGUAUGCGGGGAGAGAAUCCUAAGGUGCGCGGGAGAACCCUCGUUAAGGAACUCGGCAAAAUGUACCCGUAACUUCGGGAUAAGGGUAGCCAUCAGGGUGAAGGGACUUGCUCCUGGAGCCUAGUAUGGUCGCAGAGAAGAGGCCCAAGCGACUGUUUACCAUAAACACAGGUGCCUGCUAAAGAGAAAUCUGACGUAUAGGUGCUGACACCUGCCCAGUGCCGGAAGGUUAAGGAAGGAUGUUCGGAUUAGUCCAAAGCAUUUGACCGAAGCCCCGGUGAACGGCGGCCGUAACUAUAACGGUCCUAAGGUAGCGAAAUUCCUUGUCGGGU
rnacentral:rRNA from 1 species